rnacentral:rRNA from 1 species
AUACAGAGGGUGCAAGCGUUAUUCGGAAUUACUGGGCGUAAAGCGUACGUAGGCGGAUUGGUCAGUCUGAUGUGAAAGCCCCGGGCUUAACCUGGGAACUGCAUUGGAUACUGCCAGGCUAGAGUACAGGAGAGGAGAGUGGAAUUUCCAGUGUAGCGGUGAAAUGCGUAGAUAUUGGAAGGAACACCAGUGGCGAAGGCGGCUCUCUGGACUGAUACUGACGCUGAGGUACGAAAGCGUGGGGAGCAAACAGGAUUAGAAACCCUAGUAGUCC